rnacentral:rRNA from 1 species
GUGGGGAAUAUUGGGCAAUGGGGGAAACCCUGACCCAGCAACGCCGCGUGAAGGAAGAAGGCUUUCGGGUUGUAAACUUCUUUUAUGAGGGACGAAGAAGUGACGGUACCUCAUGAAUAAGCCACGGCUAACUACGUGCCAGCAGCCGCGGUAAUACGUAGGUGGCAAGCGUUGUCCGGAUUUACUGGGUGUAAAGGGCGCGUAGGCGGGAUAGCAAGUCAGGUGUGAAAUCCGGGGGCUUAACCCUCGAACUGCACUUGAAACUGUUAUUCUUGAGUGAUGGAGAGGCAAGCGGAAUUCCUAGUGUAGCGGUGAAAUGCGUAGAUAUUAGGAGGAACACCAGUGGCGAAGGCGGCUUGCUGGACAUUAACUGACGCUGAGAUGCGAAAGCCAGGGUAGCGAACGGGAUUAGAUACCCUGGUAGUCC